rnacentral:rRNA from 1 species
GAAGGUGUGCUGUGAGGCAUGCUGGAGGUAUCAGAAGUGCGAAUGCUGACAUAAGUAACGAUAAAGCGGGUGAAAAGCCCGCUCGCCGGAAGACCAAGGGUUCCUGUCCAACGUUAAUCGGGGCAGGGUGAGUCGACCCCUAAGGCGAGGCCGAAAGGCGUAGUCGAUGGGAAACAGGUUAAUAUUCCUGUACUUGGUGUUACUGCGAAGGGGGGACGGAGAAGGCUAUGUUGGCCGGGCGACGGUUGUCCCGGUUUAAGCGUGUAGGCUGGUUUUCCAGGCAAAUCCGGAAAAUCAAGGCUGAGGCGUGAUGACGAGGCACUACGGUGCUGAAGCAACAAAUGCCCUGCUUCCAGGAAAAGCCUCUAAGCAUCAGGUAACAUCAAAUCGUACCCCAAACCGACACAGGUGGUCAGGUAGAGAAUACCAAGGCGCUUGAGAGAACUCGGGUGAAGGAACUAGGCAAAAUGGUGCCGUAACUUCGGGAGAAGGCACGCUGAUAUGUAGGUGAGGUCCCUCGCGGAUGGAGCUGAAAUCAGUCGAAGAUACCAGCUGGCUGCAACUGUUUAUUAAAAACACAGCACUGUGCAAACACGAAAGUGGACGUAUACGGUGUGACGCCUGCCCGGUGCCGGAAGGUUAAUUGAUGGGGUUAGCGCAAGCGAAGCUCUUGAUCGAAGCCCCGGUAAACGGCGGCCGUAACUAUAACGGUCCUAAGGUAGCGAAAUUCCUUGUCGGGUAAGUUCCGACCUGCACGAAUGGCGUAAUGAUGGCCAGGCUGUCUCCACCCGAGACUCAGUGAAAUUGAACUCGCUGUGAAGAUGCAGUGUACCCGCGGCAAGACGGAAAGACCCCGUGAACCUUUACUAUAGCUUGACACUGAACAUUGAGCCUUGAUGUGUAGGAUAGGUGGGAGGCUUAGAAGUGUGGACGCCAGUCUGCAUGGAGCCGACCUUGAAAUACCACCCUUUAAUGUUUGAUGUUCUAACGUUGACCCGUAAUCCGGGUUGCGGACAGUGUCUGGUGGGUAGUUUGACUGGGGCGGUCUCCUCCUAAAGAGUAACGGAGGAGCACGAAGGUUGGCUAAUCCUGGUCGGACAUCAGGAGGUUAGUGCAAUGGCAUAAGCCAGCUUGACUGCGAGCGUGACGGCGCGAGCAGGUGCGAAAGCAGGUCAUAGUGAUCCGGUGGUUCUGAAUGGAAGGGCCAUCGCUCAACGGAUAAAAGGUACUCCGGGGAUAACAGGCUGAUACCGCCCAAGAGUUCAUAUCGACGGCGGUGUUUGGCACCUCGAUGUCGGCUCAUCACAUCCUGGGGCUGAAGUAGGUCCCAAGGGUAUGGCUGUUCGCCAUUUAAAGUGGUACGCGAGCUGGGUUUAGAACGUCGUGAGACAGUUCGGUCCCUAUCUGCCGUGGGCGCUGGAGAACUGAGGGGGGCUGCUCCUAGUACGAGAGGACCGGAGUGGACGCAUCACUGGUGUUCGGGUUGUCAUGCCAAUGGCACUGCCCGGUAGCUAAAUGCGGAAGAGAUAAGUGCUGAAAGCAUCUAAGCACGAAACUUGCCCCGAGAUGAGUUCUCCCUGACCCUUUAAGGGUCCUGAAGGAACGUUGAAGACGACGACGUUGAUAGGCCGGGUGUGUAAGCGCAGCGAUGCGUUGAGCUAACCGGUACUAAUGAACCGUGAGGCUUAACCUUACAACGCCGAAGGUGUUU